CGUGUGCGUGGGGGGUGCGAGGGGCGUGAGCGUGUGUGUGCGUGUGCGUGGGGUGUGCGCGCGCGCGCGUGUGUGUGUGCGCGCGUGGGGUGUGCGCGUGCCGCCGCCCCCUACACGUUGAUCUUAUUUGAUCGGCCCACGGCCGAGAUGAGAAGAGCCGCGCCGCGAAGCCCCCGGGCGCUGUGCGGCGGGCGGGCGGGAUGAGUCGAUCAGAUAGGCGAGGCCUGGCCCCGCGGCCGGCCCCUGAGCGCGCCGCGAUUCUGAUCCG